CUCGCGAUAGCUCAGUUGGUAGAGCGGAGGACUGUAGAUCCUUAGGUCGCUGGUUCAAAUCCGGCUCGCGAGA